rnacentral:snoRNA from 1 species
ACCCCAGUUUUCUUAGCUAUCAGAUCUAAACACUGGUCUGAGAUGUUAUAAGAGGAAGAAAAGUAAAAUUGAAACAGACGCUAAUGCUUUUGUGGUACAAAAGA